AUUGAACGCUGGCGGCAGGCCUAACACAUGCAAGUCGAGCGGUAGCACAGAGAGCUUGCUCUCGGGUGACGAGCGGCGGACGGGUGAGUAAUGUCUGGGAAACUGCCUGAUGGAGGGGGAUAACUACUGGAAACGGUAGCUAAUACCGCAUAACGUCGCAAGACCAAAGUGGGGGACCUUCGGGCCUCAUGCCAUCAGAUGUGCCCAGAUGGGAUUAGCUAGUAGGUGGGGUAACGGCUCACCUAGGCGACGAUCCCUAGCUGGUCUGAGGGGAUGACCAGCCACACUGGAACUGAGACACGGUCCAGACUCCUACGGGAGGCAGCAGUGGGGAAUAUUGCACAAUGGGCGCAAGCCUGAUGCAGCCAUGCCGCGUGUGUGAAGAAGGCCUUCGGGUUGUAAAGCACUUUCAGCGGGGAGGAAGGCGGUGAGGUUAAUAACCUCAUCGAUUGACGUUACCCGCAGAAGAAGCACCGGCUAACUCCGUGCCAGCCGCCGCCGUAA
rnacentral:rRNA from 1 species